rnacentral:ncRNA from 2 species
UCUCGAUGUAGAGGUGCGGUAUUGAAAAGUAACUAGGGUUGGGGUGAUGCCAAUGAAUCCAAGUGAAAGGCCUUACCGCCGAAGUAAGUCGUCGAUCAACACGGCUUGCUGGGGUUGUUAUCGAAUAGGAACAACACUGCCAUAGUCUAAGUACCGUUCGCGUUUGGUGAAUAUAACCAACCUACAGUUCGGUACUGUGUUGUUAAACUAUGGAGCGCUACUGUAGGG